GCCUGGCCUAAUGGAGGGUGUUCCUGUGCAUGCAGGGGGUUGGAGCUGGAUGAUCCACAAGGUUCCUUCCUAUCUAAACCAUUUUAUGAUUCUAGGAUAAUAUUUGAUUUCACUGCCUGUAUAUGAGGCAGGCUGCUUUCUCAUCAGUCAAGGCUCACUUUUUGUGAUAAAGUGGUACUUAAUCACUUAGAUGUUAACAAAGACAGGGAUAGAUUUUGAUAGUUUAGUAACUGAUCUAUGGUCUUGUGAGAAAAAAAAGCACUAAUGCAAGGAAAAUAUGUAAAUACUUCAUCUGAACAAAAUCACUUCUAGUCUGCCCUGGCUUUUUAUUUUAGCUACUUAGGGGAUGGGUAAUUGACACUGCUGUUUUAUCUGUGCAACUUUGGCCUUUUAAUACCAAACCCCUUAUUGUCAUUUUUCACUUCACAGCUGCAUGCAGAAACCCAACCCAGUAUACGUGGUAUCAAUAUGGUACACUUUAUUCUUAACUAGUUAUCAAAAAACCCUGUAAAAGUUGACAGUGGGAGGUUGGAGAAAGGAAAGAUUUUAAUGAAUCCAUGUCUGAAAUAUGGAGAAUAAGCAACUUUGUGAAAUUAGCCCUUGAUGAAAAUUAGACUAAACAGAGAAUAUAUAGUAUCUUUUGUGGAAACAAAGUAUUUCCUAAUUUCCAUUCCAGUGUUUUCAUUUACAAGACUGCUCCUGAGUAAGUGAUCAAGGCAUAAUACUCAAAAUAUAGAGAGAAGCAUCAGUCAUACAGAACAGAUGAUUUACUUUGGAACUGUACAGACAACUUCAGAGUUCUAAAACAAAAAAAUUCCUGCAACAUACUUUGCAUGAAAAACAAAGAAAUCAGGUCUCAACAGAGCUCUUGGAUCCUGGAGAAACCUGAUGAGAGAUGUCAUUCCAAACCUACUGACAAGAAGGAAGAGGAGUAACAGUACUCACAUUUCUAUAGGAUGACCUGAAGUUUUCUCAAUGAAACAAGACAACUUUCUCCCUCAUUUCGGUGGAAACAUGGAGAAAGGCCCUGCUUUCCUGCAGGAGCUCUGAAACCAAAAUCAGCUGGUGCCUCUGUACCAACUCUGUGAUCAUCUCAGUACUACCAAUGAGCUUGGCUUAGAGGAGCACUGUUUGAAGCAGACGCAGAGACUGAUGCACAGCAAAGCCUGUGGGUAACGCUGGAGUGGGAGCAUUUCACAGACAGAGAUCUCUGGGCUUUGUCUGGCCCACAGCAAUGCAGAGCCAAAUCACCACUUCACUCAGGAAUUCUUGUUCGAGCACAAAAUUGCUGUUUUAGCAGCAGCAAAAUAUAUCAGUAAUCACUGUGCACUCUUUUCCUCUCUAAAAGCUCUUGAAUAAAACAUCAGUGAUUUUACUAAA